UAGGGAAUCUUCGGCAAUGGACGGAANNNUGGACCGAGCAACGCCACGUGAGUGAAGAAGGUUUUCGGAUCGUAAAGCUCUGUUGUAAGAGAAGAACGAGUGUGAGAGUGGAAAGUUCACACUGUGACGGUAUCUUACCAGAAAGGGACGGCUAACUACGUGCCAGCAGCCGCGGUAAUACGAGGCCCGAGCNUGCCGGNUUAUUGGGCGUAAGCGAGCCCGGAGGCGAGCGCAGGGGUUUAGAUAAGUCUGAAGUUAAAGGCUGUGGCUUAACCAUAGAAGGUUGGAACUGAAAACUUGNUNAACAGGGAGAGGGGAGCCAUGUUUGUGCUUGAGGGGAGAAUAUGAAGAAACCGGGGCGACGCGGCCGCCCCCCCCGCUGGGCAAAAGGCGCCCCUUUGGUUUGGAAACUAAAGGUUGGGCCACAAGGGGGGGGGGGAAAAGGAUAAAACCCCGUACCCUGGUAACCCCACGCUGCAAACGAUAAGUGCUAGGGCUAAGACCAUUUCCGNCGNUUAGUGCNGCAGCUAACGCAUAAAGCNCUCCGCCUGGGAGUACGACCGCAGUUG
rnacentral:rRNA from 1 species